rnacentral:rRNA from 1 species
CACGUAGGGCGCAAGCGUUGUCCGGAAUUAUUGGGCGUAAAGAGCUCGUAGGCGGUCUGUUGCGUCCGCUGUGAAAACUCGGGGCUUAACCCCGAGCCUGCAGUGGAUACGGGCAGACUAGAGGUAGGUAGGGGAGAAUGGAAUUCCCGGUGUAGCGGUGAAAUGCGCAGAUAUCAGGAAGAACACCAAUGGCGAAGGCAGCUCUCUGGGACGGUACUGACGCUGAGACGCGAAAGCGUGGGGAGCGAACAGG